rnacentral:rRNA from 1 species
UACAGAGGUCUCAAGCGUUGUCCGGAUUUAUUGGGCGUAAAGAGCGUGUAGGCGGCCAUACAGGUCCGUUGUGAAAACUGGAGGCUUAACCUCCAGACGUCGAUGGAAACCGUAUGGCUAGAGUCCGGAAGAGGAGAGUGGAAUUCCUGGUGUAGCGGUGAAAUGCGCAGAUAUCAGGAAGAACACCCGUGGCGAAGGCGGCUCUCUGGGACGGUACUGACGCUGAGACGCGAAAGCGUGGGGAGCGAACAGG